rnacentral:rRNA from 1 species
GAUGAACGCUGGCGGCGUGCCUAAUACAUGCAAGUCGAGCGAACAGACGAGGAUCUUGCUCCUCUGACGUUAGCCGCGGACGGGUGAGUAACACGUGUAUAACCUACCUAUAAGACGGGGAUAACUUCGGGAAACCGGAGCUAAUACCGGAUAAUAUAUUGAACCGCAUGGUGCAAUAGUGAAAUACGGUUUUUCUGUCACUUAUAGAUGGAUCCGCGCCGCAUUAGCUAGUUGGUAAGUUAAUGGCUUACCAAGGCAACGAUGCGUAGACGAACGGAGGGGGUGGUAGGCCGCCCUGGAAGGUAGCCACGGUCCAGACUCCUACGAGAGGCAGCAGUCGGCAACCUGACGCAGCGGGCGAAAGUAUGACGGAGCAACGCGGAGCGAGUUAUGACGGUCUUCGGUUCGUAAAGCCCUGUUAUUAGGGAAGAACAAAUUUGUCAGGAAACAUGCCCGUCUUGACGGUAACUAAUCAGAAAGCCACGGCUAACUACGUG